rnacentral:misc_RNA from 1 species
GAAAUGCGAUAAGUAAUGUGAAUUGCAGAAAUCAGUGAAUCAUCGAAUCUUUGAACGCACCUUGCGCUCCUUGGUAUUCCUUGGAGCAUGCCUGUUUGAGUAUCAUGAAAUCUUCAAAGUAAAUCUUUUGUUAACUCAAUUGGUUUCUACUUUGGUAUUGGAGGUCUUUGCAGCUUCACACCUGCUCCUCUUUGUUCAUUAGCUGGAUCUCAGUGUUAUGCUUGGUUCUACUCGGCGUGAUAAGUUAUCUAUCGCUGAGGACACUGUAAAAGGUGGCCAAGGUAAAUGCAGAUGAACCGCUUCUAAUAGUCCAUUGACUUGGACAAUACUUUUAUGAUCUGAUCUCAAAUCAGGUAGGACUACCCGCUGAACUUAAGC